rnacentral:rRNA from 1 species
AGGGCACCACCAGGAGUGGAGCCUGCGGCUUAAUUUGACUCAGCACGGGAAAACUCACCCGGCCCGGACACCGUAAGGAUUGACAGAUUGAGAGCUCUUUCUUGAUUCGGUGGUUGGUGGUGCAUGGCCGUUCUUAGUUGGUGGAGCGAUUUGUCUGGUUUAUUCCGAUAACGAACGAGACUCUGGCCUACUAAAUAGAGACAGGAUUAUUACUGUCCUGGAUUCUUCUUAGAGGGACAAGUGGUUUUCAGCCACACGAAAUUGAGCAAUAACAGGUCUGUGAUGCCCUUAGAUGUCCGGGGCUGCACGCGCGCUACACUGAAGGAAUCAGCGUGCUAAAACCAUUGUCGAAAGGCAUUGGUAAACCCCUCAAAAUCCUACGUGAUUGGGAUCGGGAAUUGCAAUUAUUUCCCUUGAACGAGGAAUUCCCAGUAAGUGUGGGUCAUAAGCUCGCGUUGAUUACGUCCCUGCCCUUUGUACACACCGCCCGUCGCUGCCCGGGACUGAGCCGUUUCGAGA